GCUGCCUUAGCUCAAUUGGUAAAGUGUCGGAAUACAGAUCCGCAGGUCGUGGUUUCAUAUCCUGCAAGCAAUC
rnacentral:tRNA from 1 species